UACGAAGGGGGCUAGCGUUGUUCGGAUUUACUGGGCGUAAAGCGCACGUAGGCGGAUUGUUAAGUCAGGGGUGAAAUCCUGGAGCUCAACUCCAGAACUGCCUUUGAUACUGGCAAUCUUGAGUCCGGAAGAGGUGAGUGGAACUCCUAGUGUAGAGGUGGAAUUCGUAGAUAUUAGGAAGAACACCGGUGGCGAAGGCGGGUCUCUGGGCAGUAACUGACGCUGAGGAGCGAAAGCGUGGGGAGCGAACAGG
rnacentral:rRNA from 1 species